GCAUACCUCUUCAGUUAUCUGCCAAGGCUUGUAUUUGUCUUGAUGGAUUGUGGGUUUCCUGUGUUUCCUACCUAAGUAAUGGUAUUGCUUUUCUUGAUCGUAGUCGCUUUUCUGCUAGUGUCAUACCUAUGACAYUGGAAGAACCUUGAAUUGGUUUCUUUGAUCCACCUUGUUGACAAAUGUGUUGAUUUUGUGGCUCAUUGAACAUUGCUUGGUCUCUUGGAUACAGAACAUGAUGUGAGUACGGGGUCUCRUGGGGUCCUUUUUCCGCUUUCACUCRGCGUYYGUGCUUCUCUUAAAAUGACCGCCUCGCCUGUCAAGGCUAGUUCCGGCAGGGUGGUGUGUCAAGGAGGAGUGCUUCCUGUUUGAUGYGGGCAUGGUGUCUCAUGUGAUCCUUGUUUUGCUCUCAUUUAGCGUUCGUGCUUUUCUCUAAAUGACUACCUCGCRCGCCAAGGCUUGUACUAGCGUGGGAGGCCAUGUCRAAGAGGAAUGC
rnacentral:misc_RNA from 1 species